UACAGAGGUCCCGAGCGUUGUUCGGAUUCACUGGGCGUAAAGGGUGCGCAGGUGGGUUUGCAAGUUUGAUGUGAAAGCCCCGGGCUUAACCCGGGAAUGGCAUUGAAUACUGCAGAUCUGGAGGAUUGGAGGGGGGACUGGAAUUCUUGGUGGUAGCAGUGAAAUGCGUAGAUAUCAAGAGGAACACCAGUGGCGAAGGCGAGUCCCUGGACAAUACCUGACACUGAGGCACGAAAGCCAAGGGAGCAAACAGGA
rnacentral:rRNA from 1 species